rnacentral:sRNA from 1 species
GUGUUUGUGUAUGUGUGUGUUGUGUCUGUGCAUGUGUCUGUGUGUCUAUGUGCAUGUGUGUGUCUAUGUGCAUGUGUAUGUGUGUCUGUGUCUGUUGUGUUUAUGUCUGUGUUAUUUAUGUUUGUGUGUGCAUGUGUAUGUGUGUUUGUGUGUCUGUGUUUGUGUGUGUGUUGUUUAUGUCUGUGUUGUCGUGUGUGUGUCUGUGUGUGCAUGUGUCUGUGUUUGUGUCUGUGUGUGUCUUUGUGUGUGUGUUGUGUGUAUGUCUGUUGUAUGUGUUGUGUGUGUUUAGGUCUGUGUUGUGUGUGUUGUAUGUGUUGUGUGUGUUUAGGUGUGUGUUGUGUGGGUUGUGUGUAUGUGUUGUGUAUGUUUAUGUGUGUGUUGUGCAUGUUGUUUGUGUCUGUGUGUAUGUGUGUUGUUUGCGUGUGUGUGGUUUUCGCGCGCGUGUGUGUGUGUGUGUGUGUGAUGUGUGUAUGAUUCCUGUGUUGGGAUCAGGUAGAUGCGGGUGAUGUGACUAAGAUCUGGGGCCAUCUCUUAGGGAUUUAAUGGCUUCUUGAGGAGAGACAGUCAUAGGGAAGUUCCGACAGGGGGUUCCCCAGACGGGGGCUAGAGGGAGGUGGCACUGGACUCUGCGUGGGGGGCCUGGGGAAGACUUCACCAGAGGCGCAGGCGCAGUGGGAGCCGAACAUUGAAGGAGAAUUCCCCACCCUUCUGCAUCCAGGCAGAGGACCCAGCAUGUGCAAAGCAUGGGGUUAGGAAGGUGAACCAGGCAUGGCAGGAAGGCCUGUGCCAUGCUCAAGUGUGAACUUGGUUUUGAAGAACAAGGAGGGAGUGAAGUGGUCAUCUACAUUCCCUGUCUCCCUACUCCCUGACCCUUUCUGCACCUGCCCUCUUCCUUCCCAGUCAAAAGGGGUAGGAAGGGCUCUCUCUGGGCCAUAAAAAGAAAUCCAAGCAAGAUGUCCUGGGGACAGAGGCAAGAGCAAUGAGUUCCAUCCAAUCUGGGAUGUCUGGAACGAUCCACCGAGGAGGUGGUAAUGCUUGAGCUGAACCUUGAAAGAUGCAUGGAUGGGGAAAAUGGAGUUCUCCCAGCUGAGCAAACAGCACCUGGGAAGGCUCAGAAGCUGAGGGCCCGGAGGGGUGGGCAGUGAGGUGGGAAACGCGGGUGGAGCCAGGUUGUGGAAGCCUUCCUCAUGCUGGGUUAGGGAGCUGUGGGUUUUAUUCUGUGCUUAGGGCCGCCAUGAAUCCAGACUGUGCCUUUUUUUAUUGUUGUUGCUUUUUUUGAGACGGAGUCUCGCUCUGUCACCCAGGCUGGAGUGCAGUGGCGCGAUCUCGGCUCACUGCAAGCUCCGCCUCCCAGGUUCACGCCAUUCUCCUGCCUCAGCCUCCCAAGUAGCUGGGACCACAGGCGUCCGCCACCACACCCGGCUAAUUUUUUGUAUUUUUAGUAAAGACAGGGUUUCACCAUGUUAGCCAGGGUGGUCUCAAUCUCUUGACCUUGUGAUCCACCCGCCUCGGCCUCCCAAAUUGCUGGGAUUACAGGCGUGAGCCACCGCGCCGGUGCCAGACUGUGCCUUUUUAAGAUGAGCAAAAGGCACCUUUCCCUGUGGGCAGGCAGCAUUUCAUGCAGGGUGCAGUGCUGGGCCCGUGCUGGGGAAAGGGGACUCCCGGGCGGCCACAAUCCGCUCAACAUCGGCAGCCCUGGUUGCAUGUCACAGGAGGUGUUUGAACAGGGUUUGUGCCUUGUGCUGAUCAUUUGAAAAUGGAGGGUGGGUUCAAGUGUGGAGUGGGCAGGCGAGGAGAUGAGGAGGACAGACAGGGCUGGGCGGGACCUGACGUCCGGAUGGGCCUUCCCGGGGAAGCUGAGCUGAUGUCCAGAUGGGCCCUCUCAGGGAGGCUCGCUUAGACCGUGGACCAGAAUCAUGUGGAGAGAGGAGCAGGGAGGUUUCUCCCGGGGAAUGACUUGAGCCACCCAGGGGAGAGGCUGUGCUGGGCCCAGGGUGACUGGCCAGCUGGAGCCAAGGGUGAGGGAGUGAGCGCGAGGCCACAGCCCUGAGCAUGUUCCUGACUUUUCCCUUGCCCACCUGUUCCAGAGCUGGGGGACCUCCCUCUGGUCCGCCUGGAUUUCUCCUGUAACCGCGUCUCCCGAAUCCCAGUCUCCUUCUGCCGCCUGAGGCACCUGCAGGUCAUUCUGCUGGACAGCAACCCUCUGCAGAGUCCACCUGCCCAGGUGAGGCAGGUGCCUGGGGGGCCACGAGGACAGGGGUGUGGCUAGGCAGGAGUGGGGUUGGUCCCCUUGGAUAGCUGAGCAGGAUCCGGGGAGCUGCCCUCCCUGCCAACUCCCUGGCGUGUGCUGCCCCGCACACAGGUCUGCCUGAAGGGGAAACUUCACAUCUUCAAGUACUUGUCCACAGAGGCCGGGCAGCGUGGGUCGGCCCUGGGGGACCUGGCCCCUUCUCGGCCCCCGAGUUUCAGUCCCUGGUAAGUCCUAGGUGGGGAGGAAGGAAGCCCUGGGAUACUGAAUGCCCCUUCCCGGCCCCAGGCACCCCCUGCUUUCUGGCAGGAGGAUGGGGGGCUGUUGUCCAGCAUCAGGCUGACCAGAUCCGCCUGGCUGGCCCCAGCCCUGCAGAGGAUCUAUUUCCGGGACAUCGGUACGAUGGUGGGCUGGACUCAGGCUUCCACAGCGUUGAUAGUGGCAGCAAGAGGUGGUCUGGAAAUGAGGUAAGGGCAUCCUGUCCAUGGGAGAUUGAGGGUGUCAGCCCUGGGAGAGCACCUCUGAACUGGGGACCUCCAAAUUGCAGGGUGCCAGGCAGAGGCUGGAGCUGUCCUCUUCCUUCCCUCUGCCCAGCAUCCCAGGGAAGGGCUGGCUCAGCAGAGACCCUGAGCUUAGUCCCACACAGGACCCCCCAGGUCCUGAGCCCCCAUGUACAGAGAGGCCAUCUCCCAUCUCUGCCUCUGCCUUUAUAGUCAACAGAUGAAUUUUCAGAGCUGUCAUUCCGGAUCUCAGAGCUGGCCCGGGAGCCCCGGGGGCCCAGAGAACGCAAGGAGGAUGGCUCAGCGGACGGAGACCCUGUGCAGAUUGACUUCAUCGACAGCCACGUCCCCGGGGAGGAUGAAGAGCGAGGCACUGUGGAGGAGCAGCGACCACCUGAAUUAAGCCCUGGGGCAGGGGACAGGGAGAGGGCACCAAGCAGCAGGCGGGAGGAGCCGGCAGGGGAGGAGCGGCGGCGCCCGGACACCUUGCAGCUGUGGCAGGAGCGGGAACGGCGGCAGCAGCAGCAGAGCGGGGCGUGGGGGGCCCCGAGGAAGGAUAGGUGGGACCCAGGGCCGCCCGGGGCUGUUGCUGGACACUGAGCCCUGGAAAUGGGGCCACCGAGCCCCGCUGAGCCGUUCUGCCUUGGGGCUAGCUGACCCCACCUCUCCUUGUUCCAGCCUCUUGAAGCCAGGGCUCAGGGCUGUUGUGGGAGGGGCCGCCGCCGUGUCCACUCAAGCCAUGCACAAGUAGGUUUCCUGCCAGCAUCCCCUCCCCACUUCUCUUCCUAUGACCAUCCCUCUUAAUUCCCUUCUGUCUCUCCUCAGCGGCCCGCCUAAGUCCAGUGCCUCCCAAGCAGGGGCUGCAGCGGGGCAGGGAGCCCCCGCCCCUGCCCCCGCCUCCCAAGAGCCCCUUCCCAUAGCUGGACCAGGUGGGACAGGGAUUUUGGGAGGAGGAUGGGGCCUGUGUUGGUGAGGGCUGGUUGGGAGAGAGGGACACAGAGGGGAUGCCUGUCUCACCUGCCCCUGUCGCUGUGUCCCUGGUUCCGGCCCCAGCGACAGCACCUGCUCCACGGCCACUUGGCUCCAUUCAGAGACCAAACAGCUUCCUCUUCCGUUCCUCCUCUCAGAGUGGCUCAGGCCCUUCCUCACCAGACUCUGUCCUGAGACCUCGGCGGUACCCCCAGGUUCCAGAUGAGAAGGACUUAAUGACUCAGCUGCGCCAGGUCCUUGAGUCCCGGCUGCAGCGGCCCCUGCCUGAGGACCUGGCCGAGGCUCUGGCCAGUGGGGUCAUCCUGUGCCAGCUGGCCAACCAGCUACGGCCGCGCUCCGUGCCCUUCAUCCAUGUGCCCUCCCCUGCUGUGCCAAAACUCAGUGCCCUCAAGGCUCGGAAGAAUGUGGAGAGUUUUCUAGAAGCCUGUCGAAAAAUGGGGGUGCCUGAGGCUGACCUGUGCUCGCCCUCGGAUCUCCUCCAGGGCACUGCCCGGGGGCUGCGGACCGCGCUGGAGGCCGUGAAGCGGGUGGGGGGCAAGGCCUUACCGCCCCUCUGGCCCCCCUCUGGUCUGGGCGGCUUCGUCGUCUUCUACGUGGUCCUCAUGCUGCUGCUCUAUGUCACCUACACUCGGCUCCUGGGUUCCUAGGCCCCAAAAUCGGCCCUCCCUCACCCCUUUCCCUUCCUCUCUAUUUAUAAGGUCCCUGCUCCACCCGACCCCACCUGCGGUGCCUUCAGCCCCAACCAAAGACACUAGUGCACCCCCUUCACAGACACUGACCUCAGAGGCCCCACUCUGGUGCCCCCAGACCCUGGGCCCCCAGCCUCUGGCCUCCCUCCAGUAGCCCCACGAGUCCCCACCUCUCAGUGCUGACGGUGCCUUCAUGUCCCCGCCGGCCCUGCCCCUGCCCUCUGUACCCCGUGAGGGGUGGCAGGAGCUGGAGUCUCCCCCUUCCUCCUGUGCCCUCCCCUUCCCCCCCCAACAGCUGCUAUGGGGGGGCUAAAUUAUCUCUAUUUUGUAGAGAGGAUCUAUAUUUGUAGGGGUUCGGGGCCCAGGCCGGGUCCCUAUCUCUGUGUAUAAACUGUACAGACCGUG